rnacentral:rRNA from 1 species
GAUGAAGCAGCCGGGGUGCUAUACAUGCAGUCGACGCGUUGGCCCAAUUGAUUGAUGGUGCUUGCACCUGAUUGAUUUUGGUCGCCAACGAGUGGCGGACGGGUGAGUAACACGUAGGUAACCUGCCCAGAAGCGGGGGACAACAUUUGGAAACAGAUGCUAAUACCGCAUAACAACGUUGUUCGCAUGAACAACGCUUAAAAGAUGGCUUCUCGCUAUCACUUCUGGAUGGACCUGCGGUGCAUUAGCUUGUUGGUGGGGUAAUGGCCUACCAAGGCGAUGAUGCAUAGCCGAGUUGAGAGACUGAUCGGCCACAAUGGGACUGAGACACGGCCCAUACUCCUACGGGAGGCAGCAGUAGGGAAUCUUCCACAAUGGGCGCAAGCCUGAUGGAGCAACACCGCGUGAGUGAAGAAGGGUUUCGGCUCGUAAAGCUCUGUUGUUAAAGAAGAACACGUAUGAGAGUAACUGUUCAUACGUUGACGGUAUUUAACCAGAAAGUCACGGCUAACUACGUGCCAGCAGCCGCGGUAAUACGUAGGUGGCAAGCGUUAUCCGGAUUUAUUGGGCGUAAAGAGAGUGCAGGCGGUUUUCUAAGUCUGAUGUGAAAGCCUUCGGCUUAACCGGAGAAGUGCAUCGGAAACUGGAUAACUUGAGUGCAGAAGAGGGUAGUGGAACUCCAUGUGUAGCGGUGGAAUGCGUAGAUAUAUGGAAGAACACCAGUGGCGAAGGCGGCUACCUGGUCUGCAACUGACGCUGAGACUCGAAAGCAUGGGUAGCGAACAGGAUUAGAUACCCUGGUAGUCCAUGCCGUAAACGAUGAGUGCUAGGUGUUGGAGGGUUUCCGCCCUUCAGUGCCGGAGCUAACGCAUUAAGCACUCCGCCUGGGGAGUACGACCGCAAGGUUGAAACUCAAAGGAAUUGACGGGGGCCCGCACAAGCGGUGGAGCAUGUGGUUUAAUUCGAAGCUACGCGAGACCUUACCAGGUCUUGACAUCUUGCGCCACCCUAGAGAUAGGGCGUUUCUCGGGACGCAUGACAGGUGGUGCAUGUCGUCGUCAGCUCGUGUCGUGAGAUGUUGGGUUAG